CCUUCGAUAGCUCAGCUGGUAGAGCGGAGGACUGUAGCUGUUCCUUAGCAAGAGAGAUCCUUAGGUCGCUGGUUCGAUUCCGGCUCGAAGGA
rnacentral:tRNA from 1 species